rnacentral:rRNA from 1 species
UUUACCUACGGAGGCAGCAGUGAGGAAUAUUGGUCAAUGGGCGCGAGCCUGAACCAGCCAAGUAGCGUGAAGGAUGACUGCCCUACGGGUUGUAAACUUCUUUUGCCGGGGAGCAAGGGCGGGGACGUGUCCCGGCCCGGAGAGUACCCGGAGAAAAAGCAUCGGCUAACUCCGUGCCAGCAGCCGCGGUAAUACGGAGGAUGCGAGCGUUAUCCGGAUUUAUUGGGUUUAAAGGGUGCGUAGGCGGGCUUUUAAGUCAGCGGUAAAAAUUCGGGGCUCAACCCCGUCCGGCCGUUGAAACUGGG